GCCACAUCCAAGUGGGUGAUGUCAAAAUUGUCGUCAGAGACAGAAUUGGUUUCAGGACAUUUUUUUUUAGAGAUGCUUGAUAAAGCUUAACCAAAUGUCUUGGUACAGGCAAAUUUUCGCCCAGUGCACUUUUCCACCCCAAAGAUAAUAUAUAGUUUAUGAAUUAUUUGCUUUUGGAUUCUCAUCGCAUCGUGCUUGUGGCAGAGUGACCAACUUCAGGUUGUCAUAUCUCUCCUUUAAGCCAUUCCACAAGAUAGGUGGAUN
rnacentral:lncRNA from 1 species